UUGUACAAAAACACAAUUUUAGGUCAACAGAGUGCUGCUGCUGAUCUAGGCCUAGUGAUUCUUCCUGCCUCUCUUUAAAUGUAAAGCUGCCUCUGCUGCACCUGUGACGUUUGCCGCCUGCCGUGCAAUGCCAGUGCGCACUGGGCAUCAAAAGCGCAGAUAGAGGCAAAACAAUGUCACAAAAAAGGACAUAUCCUUCAGGUGCAGAAAAAAGGAAGAAGAAGAAAGUGGAAGAGGAGAAAAAAUGCCAUGAUAAAGGAGCAUUGUUAAAAUACUUUGGAGGCACAGAAUCAGCCCAGAGCCAGUCCACAUCCUCAGGCUCAACUGUGAGUGAUGAAUCAGGUCCAUCUCCAUCCUCUACAG